rnacentral:rRNA from 1 species
GAUGAACGCUGGCGGCGUGCCUAAUACAUGCAAGUCGAGCGAACAGAUGAGGAGCUUGUUCCUCUGACGUUAGCGGCGGACGGGUGAGUAACACGUGGAAAACCUACCUAUAAGACUGGGAUAAUUUCGGGAAACCGGAGCUAAUACCGGAUAAUAUAUUGAACCGCAUGGUUCAAUAGUGAAAGACGGCUUUGCUGUCACUUAUAGAUGGAUCCGCGCCGCAUUAGCUAGUUGGUAAGGUAACGGCUUACCAAGGCAACGAUGCGUAGCCGACCUGAGAGGGUGAUCGGCCACACUGGAACUGAGACACGGUCCAGACUCCUACGGGAGGCAGCAGUAGGGAAUCUUCCGCAAUGGGCGAAAGCCUGACGGAGCAACGCCGCGUGAGUGAUGAAGGUCUUCGGAUCGUAAAACUCUGUUAUUAGGGAAGAACAGAUGUGGAAGUAACUAUGCACGUCUUGACGGUACCUAAUCAGAAAGCCACGGCUAACUACGUG